rnacentral:lncRNA from 1 species
AUGUCAGACGAGGCAGUGGACACCAGCUCUGAGAUCACCACCAAGGACUUGAACGAGAAGGAGGAAGUUGUGGAGGAGGCAGAGAGUGGAAGAGAUGCACCUGCCAAUGGGAACGCUCAAAAUGAGGAAAAUGGGGAGCAGGAGGCUGGCAAUGAGGUAGAUGAAGAAGAGGAAGAAGGUGAUGGUGAGGAAGAGGAUGGAGAUGAAGAUGAGGAAGCUGAGGCUCCUACGGGCAAGCGGGUAGCUGAGGAUGAUGAGGAUGACGACGUCGACACCAAGAAGCAGAAGACCGAGGAGGACGACUAG